GACGAACGCUGGCGGCGUGCUUAACACAUGCAAGUCGAACGGAAAGGCCCUGCUUUUGUGGGGUGCUCGAGUGGCGAACGGGUGAGUAACACGUGAGUAACCUGCCCUUGACUUUGGGAUAACUUCAGGAAACUGGGGCUAAUACCGGAUAGGAGCUCCUGCUGCAUGGUGGGGGUUGGAAAGUUUCGGCGGUUGGGGAUGGACUCGCGGCUUAUCAGCUUGUUGGUGGGGUAGUGGCUUACCAAGGCUUUGACGGGUAGCCGGCCUGAGAGGGUGACCGGGGACAAGGGGACUAAGAGAGGGCGCAGACGCCAACGGGAGGCAGCGGGGGGAAAUAUGGCACAAUGGGCGGAAGCCUGAGGCAGAAACGCCGCGUGCGGGAUGACGGCCUUCGGGUUGUAAACCGCUUUCGCCUGUGACGAAGCGUGAGUGACGGUAAUGGGUAAAGAAGCACCGGCUAACUACGUG
rnacentral:rRNA from 1 species